rnacentral:rRNA from 1 species
UUCCAGACUCCUACGGGAGGCAGCAGUGAGGAAUAUUGGUCAAUGGGCGAGAGCCUGAACCAGCCAAGUCGCGUGAAGGAUGACGGCCCUACGGGUUGUAAACUUCUUUUGUCAGGGAGCAAUUGGGUCCACGCGUGGGCUUAGCGAGAGUACCUGAAGAAAAAGCAUCGGCUAACUCCGUGCCAGCAGCCGCGGUAAUACGGAGGAUGCGAGCGUUAUCCGGAUUUAUUGGGUUUAAAGGGUGCGUAGGCGGAAUAUCAAGUCAGCGGUAAAAAUUCGGGGCUCAACCCCGUCGUGCCGUUGAAACUGGCUGUCUUGAGAUGUCGAGAGGUAUGCGGAAUGCGCAGUGUAGCGGUGAAAUGCUUAGAUAUUGCGCAGAACUCCGAUUGCGAAGGCAGCAUACCGGCGGCGAUCUGACGCUGAGGCACGAAAGCGUGGGUAUCGAACAGGAUUAGAUACCCUGGUAAG